CUGCUCGAGCCCUCCUCCCUGUUGCCGCCAGACGCGGCGCUCCGCGCGUGCAUACAGUCGCCAGCCACCCCGCGCCGUGUGUCCUUGCGGCAUCCGUCGGGCUCUGCGUCCUUGCGUUCUUCUGGCCCCCACCCGCGUCCUCCUGCAUCCUCCGAGCGGCGGGCGCUGCCCAGGUCGACGACCACCCAUGCCGGCGUCCCCGUGUAUCCGUCGGGCACUGUGGCGAUGUGCUCCUCCAACCCGGCUCUUUGUCCCUGCGUUCUUCCAGCCCCCGCUCGCGUCCUCCUACAUCCUCCGAGCGGCGGGCGCUGCCUAGGUCGACGACAGCCCCGCGCCGGUGUCCCGUGCAUCUGUCGGGCACUGCGGCGAUGUGCUCCUCUGGCCCAGCGCUGCGUCCCUACGUUCUUCCAACCGCGUCCUCUGCAUCCUCCGAGCGGCGGGCGCUGCCCAUGUCGACGACUGCCCCUCACUGGCGUCCUCGUGCAUCUAUUGUGCACUGCGGUGAUGUGGUCCUCUGGAUCAGACGACAUCCUCUAAAUCCUCUAGGCGGUGGGCGUCGCACCCAUCGAUUUCGCUUGCUCUAGGUGGACUCGUCGAUAGGCAACCGAGGAUGACACUAUCGGCGACCUCAAGAAGCUGGUGGUAGCGCUGACGGAAACAGGGCCAAAAAGAUCCCCAUCCAGGAGCUCCCCUGCAUCGGCACACCUCCUAUUGUCUGCUGAUCAGAGCUACGGCCUCCCUCGACCUCCCUGAAUUUCUCUGUGAUGAACUAUGGUUGCAAGCAUUAAAUUUGUAGAUGUAUGAUCGACCGAAUAGAUGUAUUCUCUAUUAUAUGCCUUGUGAUGUUGAUCUAGAUGAAUGGCAACUUGUGUAUUCAUUUGUAGGUGUAUGAUGGACGAAAGUUGUCUUGGCCUUGUGAUGUUGUAGUACAAAGCAGUGUUCUUGGCAUGGGCAAUUGUAAUAGUUUUUUUGAUAUAAAAAGAUCAUGAGGUUAUACAAAAGUGUGGAUAUAGGUGCUUCACAAAUGGACACAUCUCUCACUAAGUCCCCGUAACUUUCAACUAUAACAUCAAUGUUUGAGCUAUCUUUCUUACAUUUCCUUAUUUUUUGGCUCAAAAGUGUACAAUUAGUCACCAUACUGUUACAAACUC